rnacentral:lncRNA from 1 species
GUUAGGCGCGCCAGUCUUCCGAAUUGACUGAGACGCCCACAGAUACCUGUGCUCCCUGAUCAAUAAAAAUCCUCUUACUGAUUACAGCCUGUGGACUUGGUCUGGUCAUUGGGCUUGAGGAUCUCCCUCCUGAGGGAAGAUUCUCUCUGAGAGUCUUACAUAUGGGGGCUCGUCUGGGAUCGGAGAUCCUCUGCCCAGAGACCGCCGACCACCCACCGGGAGAUAUGGAUGCAUAUGGGAUGGACCAGUCACCCAGAGGUGAGGCAGUCUCUGGAUGGACUUUCCUUCAGUCUCUGCUCCAUUCUUUGUCCCUGUAUUUCUUCCCGAUACAAAAAUAGCCGAGUGAAUAGAGAAUGCAGUUCAGUGUGUCCAGGAGAGGACUUCAUGGAACAACAUUCUCGGCAUAAUGAGGAAGAUAGAGAACCAGUGCUCCAUUGCAUUCCUGGAUUACAGCUGAGCUUUAGCCCAACUACUGUGGCAGUACUCCCAGAAAAUAGAACAACCAAACCUUCUUCCUGGCCAGAGUGUUUGGACGAUGUGUGAAUCCUGAAAUAUACACAUACAAACCUACUCUUCUGUGCAGCCCUAAACAGUGCUGACACGCAGGAGGAAAUCCAGUCCUUUCUGUUUAGCCAACUCUGUCCUUGUCUCCCAUCCAUAUUGCAGCUCUAGCCAACAUGGUUAACUGGCAGUUACACAAACGUAUAUUUUAUUCUUAUAUUUCUGGACCUUUCGUGAUGAUGUUCCCUAAUGCUACAACGCCCUUGUAAAGCAUGAACUCUUCCCAUUCUUCUGAUCACUUAGAGCUCAGCUCCCCUGACUCUUUUUCAGCAACUACCUCCAAUCCAAGAUACUUCAG